CCAAGGAGUCUAACACGUGCGCGAGUCACAGGGUAAUUCGCAAGACGAACUAAACCCUAAGGCGCAAUGAAAGUGAAGGUUAGCCUCGUGCUGACUGAGGCAGGAUCCGUCCGGGUGAGCGAAGCUCUUCUUCCUUUCGCGGGUUCGUCCCGCGGGGGAGCUCGGCGGCGCACUGCCGGCCCAUCUCGGCCGCUUCUUGUCGGCGAGGUGGAGCCAGAGCGCACACGUUGGGACCCGAAAGAUGGUGAACUAUGCUCGGGCAGGACGAAGCCAGAGGAAACUCUGGUGGAGGUCCGUAGCGAUUCUGACGUGCAAAUCGAUCGUCGGACCCGAGUAUAGGGGCGAAAGACUAAUCGAACCGUCUA
rnacentral:rRNA from 1 species